rnacentral:rRNA from 1 species
GAGUUUGAUCCUGGCUCAGAAUGAACGCUGGCGGCGUGCUUAACACAUGCAAGUCGUACGAGAACACUCUAGCUUGCUAGGGUAAGUAAAGUGGCGCACGGGUGAGUAACGCGUGGGUAAUCUACCUUCGAAUUGGGGAUAACGUUGCGAAAGCGACGCUAAUACCGAAUAACAUCCAUUAAUCUUCGGGUUUUUGGAUCAAGGGUGGCCUCUACAUGUAAGCUACUGUUUGAAGAUGAGCCCGCGUACCAUUAGCUUGUUGGUGGGGUAAAGGCCUACCAAGGCUUCGAUGGUUAGCUGGUCUGAGAGGAUGAUCAGCCACACUGGAACUGACACACGGUCCAGACUCCUACGGGAGGCAGCAGUGAGGAAUUUUGCGCAAUGGGGGAAACCCUGACGCAGCAACGCCGCGUGAGUGACGAAGGCUUUCGGGUCGUAAAGCUCUGUCAAGUGGGAAGAACCUGCAGUAUGCUAAUAUCAUAUUGCACUGACGGUACCACUGAAGGAAGCACCGGCUAACUCCGUGCCAGCAGCCGCGGUAAUACGGGGGGUGCAAGCGUUAUUCGGAAUCAUUGGGCGUAAAGAGCACGUAGGCGGCUUGGUAAGUCAGAUGUGAAAGCCCGGGGCUUAACCCCGGAAGUGCAUUUGAUACUGUCAGGCUUGAGUAUGGGAGAGGGAAGUGGAAUUCCUGGUGUAGAGGUGAAAUUCGUAGAUAUCAGGAGGAACACCGGUGGCGAAGGCGACUUCCUGGACCAAUACUGACGCUGAAGUGCGAAGGCGUGG